rnacentral:rRNA from 1 species
AACGAACGCUGGCGGCGUGGAUAAGACAUGCAAGUCGAACGGGACUAAAUCUGUAGCAAUACAGGUUUAGUUUAGUGGCGAACGGGUGCGUAACACGUGGGCAAUCUGCCGAGAAGUGGGGGAUAGCUCGCCGAAAGGCGAAUUAAUACCGCAUAUGAUCAGUGAAGACAUCUUCACGACAUCAAAGCCGGGGCAACCUGGCGCUUCUUGAUGAGCCCGCGGCCUAUCAGCUAGUUGGUGAGGUAACGCUCACCAAGGCUAUGACGGGUANCUGGUCUGAGAGGACGACCAGUCACACUGGAACUGAGACACGGUCCAGACACCGUACGGGUGGCAGCAGUCGAGUAAUUUUUC